GUGCUCAUAGCUCAAAUGGAUAGAGCAUUCGAUUCCGAUUCGAAAGGUUGCGGGUUCAAUUCCUGUUGAGCACGCCA
rnacentral:tRNA from 1 species